rnacentral:rRNA from 1 species
AUUGAACGCUGGCGGCAGGCCUAACACAUGCAAGUCGAGCGAGCGGCGGACGGGUGAGUAAUGUCUGGGGAUCUGCCCGAUAGAGGGGGAUAACUACUGGAAACGGUAGCUAAUACCGCAUACUAUCGGAUGUGCCCAGAUGGGAUUAGCUAGUAGGUGGGGUAAAGGCUCACCUAGGCGACGAUCCCUAGCUGGUCUGAGAGGAUGAUCAGCCAAACUGGGACUGAGACACGGCCCAGACUCCUACGGGAGGCAGCAGUGGGGAAUAUUGCACAAUGGGGGCAAGCCUGAUGCAGCCAUGCCGCGUGUAUGAAGAAGGCCUUAGGGUUGUAAAGUACGUUCAGCGGGGAGGCGUUACCCGCAGAAGAAGCACCGGCUAACUCCGUGCCAGCAGCCGCGGUAAUUC